UACGUAGGGUGCGAGCGUUAAUCGGAAUUACUGGGCGUAAAGCGUGCGCAGGCGGUUCGUUGUGUCGGCGGUGAAAGCCCCGGGCUUAACCUGGGAAUGGCCGUUGAAACUGGCGAACUGGAGUGUGGCAGAGGGGGGUGGAAUUCCGCGUGUAGCAGUGAAAUGCGUAGAGAUGCGGAGGAACACCGAUGGCGAAGGCAGCCCCCUGGGCUAACACUGACACUCAGGCACGAAAGCGUGGGGAGCAAACAGG
rnacentral:rRNA from 1 species